UUGCGUCCAUAUCGCGUUGGAACUCUGGUUUUCGUACGAUCACCGAGGUUAAGCAACCUAGAGCCAGGUCAGUACCUAAAUUGGCGACCACUUUGUAAUACCAUGUGCUGUAGG